GCCUAGCUGGCUCAGUCUAUAGAGCGCGUGACUCUUGAUCCCAGUGCUGUGGGUUCGAGCCCCAUGUUGGGUG
rnacentral:tRNA from 1 species